rnacentral:lncRNA from 1 species
UCUAAGGUUUUCUGUCUUUCUUUAUGACAUGUAUCCAGAAUAAUUUUUUUACUUCUAUUCAAUAGCCAUAAGCUCAGCACUAGAACACCACCCUCUGCCAGAAGUACAAAUACCAAAUAAUCCUUUGCAUUGCGUGCUGUCAAGUUGGAACUGAUGUAUGGUGACCCUGAUACGGAUCUCAAGUAAGUGAGAUAUCUAAGGAGCAGUUUUACCAGUGCCACCCCACUUCCCACGGAACUUCCCUGUGGCUGAAUGGAGAUAUGAACCCUGGUCUCUUGGAGGCCCUAGUUCAUCACUCCAUUCACUGCCCCACACAGGACACAAAUGAUCCUACUCGGUCUAAACUAGGAAAACUACUGGAUAAUAAGUGUGAGCAGGAAGCUUGCUCACUUAUCUCUUCCAAAUUAACCCUAAACAAGUCCUUUCACAUCUCUCUCCAUGUUACCUCCCCUCUAGGCAUGGCUAUUUCUGUUGCUUCAAAGAGGGGGAAGAGUCUUGUCCUUUAAUUUGAUCCUCAGGGUAUGUCAUUGGGUGUUAGAAUAACAGCCCAACUCUUUCAAAGGUUACAUAACAUAGCAAACGUAGGUCAAAUGAACAGAAGAUAAGUAAGUGUUAUAAAGCAAUUAAAUCUUGCUGAACAUGAAAGCAGAGGACUUCAGAUGCUUUUUAAAAAGCCUUGCUACAAUAUUUUCCUUUUAUUGUACACAGAAAUGUGUUCUCAAUGAAUACACAUAUAUUAGAAUAUUCUCUCUCUCUUUUUCUUUUUCUUUUUAAAGAGGAGCCCGGAUGGUGGAGAGGGGAAACGGAUGCCUAUGUGGUAAUAGCCACUAUGCUCUUUUCAAAAAUCCUGCAGUAUCUUCUUCAAAUAGUCUGCUAUUUGGGCAGAACUGAAAAGAUCCAAAUCCACCAUCUCACAGAAGGAUUUCAGGAGCAAGGUGAAACAGAGACUGCCAGAGCGUUGGAAGAAUGGCGAAGGGUCUGCAGGAGUCCCCAAUUUCCAUUAUGGGGGUGGUGGCCAAGCUGCAAAACCCACAAAAAGAUGGACAACAGCAAGCGCAACACGCCCACCUAUGAGCGCAGGAGAGACCAGCCUGUCCCCUUCGUACUGUCCUUCCACUGGAACAAGUGUUAACGUGUGUAUCAGGUCUUCUGUCAACACAAAGAAAAGACCUUUCCUUUGGCCUAAGGUUCUGUGGACUGUGGGCAACUGGUAGAGUCAGAUCUGGAGAGAUGGGCUGCGGGCUCUGGGCGCUUCACCCCAAGACAAUGUGCCAGCCUCUCGAGUGCCACCAAAGCCUUUGCUGCUUUUGCUGCAACAGACCGCAAGCUCCUCUUCGUAAAAGAGAGGGUAUCCGGGAUGUCCUCGCCUCUGGGACACAAAGGAUUUUGUUUAAAUAAAAGAGGGGGAU